UGGUAGCGUGUCUCGCGAGCAAAUGUGGUAUUUUUAUAUAAUUUUUCUCUCUGUGCUGGUAAAGUUAUAUGGACAACCGUUAAGUGUUAUACGAUAUAAUGGUAAAAAGUUAAAUCUUCCCCAACCAAUUGUAACCUUGGCUGCUGCAGCGGUUGGUGGCCCUGGAGAGCAUCGCCGGGGAUGGAAUGGCGGCCUCGUUGCCGUCGUCGGUGCCGCCCCGCACGAUGAUGCUGCGGUCGGUGGCCCGGUCCACCAGGCGGUACGCGCCGGGGGUGUCUAUGGGCACCUUGUCGAAGCUGCGGGUCUCGUCCCCCUCUGCCGUGGCCGCCGUCGCCUAGCUCCGGCGGGAGCCCGUGCAGGAGACAGAUACGGAGCUCCAUGGGGAGGUGGGGUGGCGGAGCAAGAGGGGAACCGCGCAGAUCUGAGCCCCCGCCACCUUCAUCCUCUCCAACGAUUGCCUGGUGCUUGUGCUUGCUCAACUAAGAUAUUAGGCCAGUCUCAAUGGGGUUUCAUUAGAGUUUCAUGCACAUUAAAUAUGCUGAUGUGGCGCUAUAUUAAUGAAGAGAGAUGAUAAGAGCUUCAUGGAAGUAGAGAGAGUUUCAUCCCCAUGAAACUCCUAUGCACUGUUUCCAAAAUAAUAUUGAUGUGUUGGAAACUGUGACAUGAAACUCCCAUUGAGGAUGGCCUUAUAGAUUUAAUCUUUCCACAAUGUUGUUACCUUUUUGCUGAAAUUACUUUGCUUUACCUUCAUUGUCAUGAUUUGCUGGAUUGAAAUCAAUUCUUGAAUCUAGAGUAUAUUUAGAUACGCAAUUUCACUAGAUUUGGAUCAAACUACUUAAUUUAGUUUGUUUUUUUUUCCCAUAUAAACAUCCUUUUUUUUAAUCUCUACUUGGGCACCUUCAGUGAGUAGCAGAGAUGUCAAGCACUUCCAUUCUAUAUGUCACUAAUACAUUCAUGUCCACUUGUUCAGAACAUAAAUAUAGAUCCAGUUAUUAUAAAAAAAGAUCCAUUUAAUUUGGCCAAAUUCAGCUUGUGCAAGGCUGUUGCGUUGACCUUUUGUUGAGUUGUAUGUUUGGUGCACAACUUAUUUGUGCUUUAUUGGACUCGUUUUAGGUUCAGAAACAAGUGUGUGAUAACUUUGAUCCUAGCUUUUACCCUAGAUUCAAAAAGUGGUGUGAUGACUAUUUUUAUAUCAAGCUUAGUUUGUCCAGCUGUUUGUUUGAUGCUAAUGAUUCUUGUGAUUUUUUUUAUUUUCCAUUUUUUGUAGGUCUCACUGAUACAUGGCUAUGAUCUAGAAACACUUCUUCGCUUUGCCACUGGUGUCAUACCAUCUUUUGUAAUCUUGUGCUUUUCUUUUCUUUCAAAAGUAUUAAUUAAAUUCCAGUAGGGGCGGAGCCCCUCCUGUUUCCUCAAAAAAAUAUAAAUUCCUCACUUAUAGUGCACGGUAAUCAUCUGCUCAUCGGAGUCGCGCCCACUGGUUGCCUUUCUUUCUGUCUUUGGUCUUUGUAGAAGUGGUUGUUGAGGUGGUGGUAGUAGGGAUGAUGGAGGGGACGUUGCCACCACAGCAGUGGCCGUGGACACGAUGGUGCUGUCAGCCCCCUGCAACUCAUCUCCUGCAAUCUAGUUGAGCCCGCAGUUCAUUGGUUUGCUUAAGGGCCAGGUAGGAUAGUAUGCUGCGACUAUAUUUCUUGACCAGUUUGCAGAUGCACACGACAUGGCCUGAGAAUGUAUUGUGCAAUUCUGCUAAAUUGCCCCCUUGCGGCCUUAGUUUGCAGAACAGAGGAUUCAGACUUUUUGGUUGUGAGUGAUAUGACUGUCCCAAGUCAAUACUCAUCCCUGCCUUGAAUGGAUCUGGUACUCCUCUUUUCAAAAGCAUACAUGUUGUCAACUGUCAUGUUGAUCAAAUUGUUAUUGCAGGGCUGAAUAACCCAAAGGUAUCAAAUUUUGUCUUAUGGAUUCUUGCAGAACUUGCUGUUGCUGCAUGUGACAUUACCGAAGGUGGGAGAGCUGAAACCUAGGAAGUCGAUCUCUGAUUCAAUUCUUAGAUAAACAAAAGAGUUUGGAAUCAUCACUGACGUAAAGGUCUUCCACCAGAUCAUGUUCUAAAUUUCAGUCUCUGAGCUGUUAUAUUGUUUGUAAUUCUUCAGGCGGCAUAUACUAUUGUACCGACAUAUUGGCCUUUUUUUUUACUUCAGUUUUACUUUAAAUUACUAAUAUUUAAUAUCUCUUAAAAUUUCAGCACUCCACAGUAAGGAAACGAAAAGAGAAAAGGAAUAGAUGAGUUGAUAGAAUCACUGAAAGUUGUGCUAGAAAAAAGAACCACAAAAAGGAUACAUUGACUUUUUUUAAGAGUAAUGCAAGUCGUCUAGGAAUUGAACCAAUUACUUAAUAUAUUGUGUACUUUCAUCAAAUAAGUAUGUUGACGCUUCUCUUUUCAGUUGUAUUUUGAGCUUGAGGACAACAGUGCAUUGAGCCUUGCUUUAAAGGUAUACAUGUGUGUAGCCAGCUUAUCAUUUGUGUUAACCAAAUGAAAAAAGAAGAAAUAUGAUACCAAACAUGUAAACGAAAUAUUUUCUUACCAAGUUUAGAUCUUGUCAAUUGGCAACCAAAUUUCCUAUUGAUUGGCAAACAUAUUUUCUUACAAAUAUUUAUCCACAUGUGAGUUGCGUUGUGCAUGUCCACUACAGCGGUUUAAUGUGUGUUAU